GGGGGUGAAAAGGUUUCGACGGGGGUCGGAAGCACAGGUUGCAUGUCGGGGAUGCCGGUUGGCCCCGUUAAUAAGCCGGUAAACCAAUAAACGCCGACAACGACGUUACUUUUGCACUGGCGGCUUAAUUGCCGUCACAUCCUCUGAUUCCUCGCCUGUGGGAAUCUUCGGGAUGUCAUUUCAGCAGGCUGGCUCCGUCAAUCGUUCCGUGUUGCCGUAGCGAGAUCUUAGCGGAAUCGCUGUUGCAAAAUCCGGUUCACGGGAGUUUGAAACAGUUAAAUCCAAAACGUGAACUAAACAUGUAGACGCUUGCUGUGGAAAACUUUCGGACGCGGGUUCGAUUCCCGCCACCUCCACCA
rnacentral:tmRNA from 1 species